rnacentral:misc_RNA from 1 species
GAAAUGCGAUAAUUAAUGUGAAUUGCAGAAUUCAGUGAAUCAUCGAGUCUUUGAACGCACAUUGCGCCCCCUGGUAUUCCGGGGGGCAUGCCUGUCCGAGCGUCAUUGCUGCCCUCAAGCACGGCUUGUGUGUUGGGCUUCCGUCCGGCAACGGGGACGGGCCCAAAAGGCAGUGGCGGCACCAUGUCUGGUCCUCGAGCGUAUGGGGCUUUGUCACCCGCUCCCGUAGGUCCAGCUGGCAGCUAGCCUCGCAACCAAUCUUUUUAACCAGGUUGACCUCGGAUCAGGUAGGGAUACCCGCUGAACUUAAGU